rnacentral:ncRNA from 1 species
GCAAAGUAGGUUCAGCGCGUAAAGUGUUGCGGGAUGGGAACGUUGCCCGCAAACGAAGGAAGUUUUCCGCGAUGCUGAAUUGCGUCCGUUG